rnacentral:misc_RNA from 1 species
AUUUCAAUUUAUUUUAUUUUUCAACCACUUAAAUAUGACUUAUAUAAUCAUUUUUUUAUUUUACUUUCCUUUUAUAUUUAUUUUAUUUAUUUAACUAUUUAAUUAUUAGAUUUGUAUUAAUUAUUAUUUUUAUUAAACAACUUUAAAUGAUUUUAUUUAUAUUGUAUUAUUAUAUACACACUCUAAAACCAUAUCCAAAAUCACUGUUCACAGUAAUAGUGAUUUUGAAAAUAAUUGUGCUUUUGCUUGUCUAUUUCAGUGGUGGGAGAAAUAAAUUGGCAGCAUAAAACUGACC